rnacentral:rRNA from 1 species
GUGCCAGCCGCCGCGGUAACACGUAGGGCGCAAGCGUUGUCCGGAAUUAUUGGGCGUAAAGAGCUCGUAGGCGGUCUGUUGCGUCCGCUGUGAAAACUCGGGGCUUAACCCCGAGCCUGCAGUGGAUACGGGCAGACUAGAGGUAGGUAGGGGAGAAUGGAAUUCCCGGUGUAGCGGUGAAAUGCGCAGAUAUCGGGAGGAACACCGGUGGCGAAGGCGGUUCUCUGGGCCUUACCUGACGCUGAGGAGCGAAAGCGUGGGGAGCGAACAGGAUUAGA